CAGGGAUUGCCCUAGUAACGGCGAGUGAAGCGGCAACAGCUCAAAUUUGAAAUCUGGCCCUCGGGUCCGAGUUGUAAUUUGUAGAGGAUGCUUUUGGCGCGGUGCCUUCCGAGUUCCCUGGAACGGGACGCCUUAGAGGGUGAGAGCCCCGUACGGUUGGACACCAAGCCUCUGUAAAGCUCCUUCGACGAGUCGAGUAGUUUGGGAAUGCUGCUCUAAAUGGGAGGUAAAUUUCUUCUAAAGCUAAAUAUUGGCCAGAGACCGAUAGCGCACAAGUAGAGUGAUCGAAAGAUGAAAAGCACUUUGAAAAGAGGGUUAAAUAGCACGUGAAAUUGUUGAAAGGGAAGCGUUUGCGACCAGACCUUUUCCUGGCGGAUCAUCCGGUGUUCUCACCGGUGCACUUCGCCAGGUUGAGGCCAGCAUCGGUUUCCGCAGGGGGAUAAAAGCUCUGGGAAUGUAGCUCCCUCGGGAGUGUUAUAGCCCUCUGCAUAAUACCCUUGCGGGGACCGAGGACCGCGCUUCGGCAAGGAUGCUGGCAUAAUGGUCGUCAACGACCCGUCUUGAAACACGGACCAAGGAGUCGAACAUUUGUGCGAGUGUUUGGGUGUUAAACCCUCACGCGUAAUGAAAGUGAACGGAGGUGAGAGCCCUUACGGGUGCAUCAUCGACCGAUCCUGAUGUCUUCGGAUGGAUUUGAGUAAGAGCAUAACUGUUCGGACCCGAAAGAUGGUGAACUAUGCGUGGAUAGGGUGAAGCCAGAGGAAACUCUGGUGGAGGCUCGCAGCGGUUCUGACGUGCAAAUCGAUCGUCAAAUCUGCGCAUGGGGGCGAAAGACUUAUCGAACCAUCUAGUAGCUGGUUACCGCCGAAGUUUCCCUCAGGAUAGCAGUGUUGUUCUUCAGUUUUAUGAGGUAAAGCGAAUGAUUAGGGACUCGGGGGCGCUUUUUAGCCUUCAUCCAUUCUCAAACUUUAAAUAUGUAAGAAGCCCUUGUUACUUAAUUUGAACGUGGGCAUUCGAAUGUACCAACACUAGUGGGCCAUUUUUGGUAAGCAGAACUGGCGAUGCGGGAUGAACCGAACGCGGGGUUAAGGUGCCGGAGUGGACGCUCAUCAGACACCACAAAAGGUGUUAGCACAUUUAGACAAUAGGACGGUGGCCAUGGAAGUCGGAAUCCGCUAAGGACUGUGUAACAACUCACCUAUCGAAUGUGCUAGCCCUGAAAAUGGAUGGCGCUCAAGCGUCCCACCCAUACCUCGCCCUCAGGGUAGAAACGAUGCCCUGAGGAGUAGGCGGCCGUGGGGGUCAGUGACGAAGCCUAGGGCG
rnacentral:rRNA from 1 species